rnacentral:lncRNA from 1 species
GGUGUUGCCUGUUGCAGUUUUCCAGAGCAGCAGGCGGAUGGAUGAGGUUGGAGUUGGAAUUUGGGAUUUUGGGGGGCUUUUUUUUCCCUUCUUUUUCUGGGAUGCCAGCACCUCCCCAGCCUGUUUUUGCCCUCCCAAGCCGGGCAUUUGCUUCUUGGGGUGGGUUUAUUCAGAAGCACCGAACAGAACCCAGUGCCAAAACCUCCCUGAUUAGUUGUGUUGGGGCCAAGCCUAAUUAAUGGGCUUCAUUAACGAGGCUGCCUUUAUUCCCUGUUGCUUUCUCCCUACGAACUUUAACACGGAGGGAGGCGGUUUGGCCAGAGAGGUGAGGUCAGUAGUUAAAUAAAAAAGGAAGAAAAUGCUUCUUAAAUACGAAAAUACAUUUUUUUUUUCCAUGUGUUUGCUUUGCUGUUGUGCCUCUUGAUUUAGGGGUUGCCUUUAGGUGGGGUCUGACCAGCACCAAUCCCUUGGGAAUAUUAAUCUGAGAUGCCGGGGGAGCAUCGCUGGGUGAUGCGCUGCUACCUGGGAUAACUGAGGAGAGAGCCCAGCCGCCCCCAAAUUAAGGGGCUUAGAAAUUUCACGUGGAUCAUCCCAAAGCCGAUUAACCGGGAAUGUCGGAUCCUGGUUCUUGGAGCUGAGCGCUGGGAAAACCUCCCGCCUGGGAUAAUUGGGCUGUUAACGAAGGUGGCCCAAGCACUGGCCUGCCCUGACCCUGCUCCCAAACAAGGCUGCGAUUGUUGUCCGGGCUUAAGCAGGAGGAAGAGGAGGCGGGCGAAGGGGCUGCCAGUAGCUGGGUUUUGCUCAGUGACUGUUAAUGAAGCUCCGAUGUGAACCCGCUUCGUUAGCGGCUGCUGUCGGGCCGGAGCAUCCCCAUGCCGGUGCCGUCCCCGGCAGCGUCCCGCGCUGGCGAGCCGCCCGUGUCACAUGGAGCCCUCGGAGGGGACCCUGCAGGCCCAGAUAAAACCAGGCAAAAAAUUCCUAGAAUCCCCAAACAGCGUUGUGUGGGUUUUUUUUAACCCCAAACUGGUGUUUUUGUGAUUAUUUUUUUCCCCUUAGCCCACGUGGGUGCCAUAAUAAAAGCAAGUUUUAUCCUGUAUAUUCGUGUUCA